rfam:Danio rerio chromosome 7, GRCz11 reference primary assembly.
CAAACGGCUCUUUUAAGAGCCACCAACUAGUCCAAACUAAAGAGCUU